CGCCUCCUGCAGCAUAAAGUAUAGGAGGUCCAGCCUGCCCAGUGACUACGGGUUCAACGGCCGCGGUAUAUUGACCGUGCAAAGGUAGCGCAAUCACUUGUCUUUUAAAUAGAGACCUGUAUGAAUGGCUAGACGAGGGCUUAACUGUCUCCCCCCUCCAGUCAGUAAAAUUGAUCUAUCCGUGCAGAAGCGGGUAUAGUACUACAAGACGAGAAGACCCUUUGGAGCUUAAGGUACAGAAUUCAGCCACGUUAAGCAACUCCAUAAACAGCAAGAACUUAGUGGUCAUGAAAUUUUACCUUCGGUUGGGGCGACCGCGGAGGAAAAGCAAGCCUCCGAGUGGACUGGGCCGAGACCCUAAAGCCAAGAGAAACAUCUUCAAGCCGCAGAACAUCUGACCAAUAAUGAUCCGGCUAGAAAGCCGAUCAACGGACCAAGUUACCCUAGGGAUAACAGCGCAAUCCUCUCCCAGAGCCCAUAUCGACGAGGGGGUUUACGACCUCGAUGUUGGAUCAGGACAUCCUGGUGGUGCAGCCGCUAUUAAGGGUUCGUUUGUUCAACGAUUAAAGUCCU
rnacentral:rRNA from 1 species